GUGUGCCUACGGGAGGCAGCAGUGGGGAAUAUUGCACAAUGGGGGAAACCCUGAUGCAGCAACGCCGCGUGAAGGAAGACGGUUUUCGGAUUGUAAACUUCUGUUCUUAGUGAAGAAAAAUGACGGUAGCUAAGGAGCAAGCCACGGCUAACUACGUGCCAGCAGCCGCGGUAAUACGUAGGUGGCAAGCGUUGUCCGGAAUUACUGGGUGUAAAGGGAGCGCAGGCGGGAAGGCAAGUCCGCUGUGAAAACUACGGGCUUAACUUGUCGACUGCAGUUGGAACUGGUUUUCUUGAGUGAAGUAG
rnacentral:rRNA from 1 species